GACGAACGCUGGCGGCGUGCUUAACACAUGCAAGUCGAACGGUGAAGCGCCUUCCUUUUUGGUGGGUGUGGAUGAGUGGCGAACGGGUGAGUAACACGUGAGUAACCUGCCCCCUUCUUCUGGAUAACCGCAUGAAAGUGUGGCUAAUACGGGAUAUUCUGGGUCUGUCGCAUGAUGGGUCUGGGAAAGAUAUUGUUUCGGUGGGGGCUGGGCUCGCGGCCUAUCAGCUUGUUGGUGGGGUGAUGGCCUACCAAGGCGGUGACGGGUAGCCGGCCUGGGAGGGUGGACGGUCACACUGGGACUGAGACACGGCCCAGACUCCUACGGGAGGCAGCAGUGGGGAAUAGUGCACAAUGGGCGCAAGCCUGAUGCAGCGACGCCGCGUGAGGGAUGGAGGCCUUCGGGUUGUGAACCUCUUUCGCCAGUGAAGCAGGCCUGCCUCGUUUGUGGGUGGGUUGACGGUAGCUGGAUAAGAAGCGCCGGCUAACUACGUG
rnacentral:rRNA from 1 species